rnacentral:rRNA from 1 species
AAAAUUAAAAGGACGCGGUAACCUUGACCGUGAUAAUGUAGCAUAAUCAUUCGCCAUUUAAUUGAUGGAUAGUAUGAAUGGUUGAACGAAUAUUCCACUGUCUUAAAAAGAAAUUAACAAAAAUUAGAAUAAUAGUAAAGAUACUAUUUAAAAUUGUAAGACGAAAAGACCCUAUAGAGCUUAACUAUAAUCUUUCUCUUUAAUAUUAACAGAAAGAUUGGUAGUUUAGUUGGGGCGACUGUCUUUUAAAAUUAACAAAGACAAGCAAAAAUUAAUAUUAAAAUUUAUUGUAUAAUCCAUAAAUUUAACAAUUACAAAAGUAGGCUAUAAUGACCCGUUAUUAUUUCAUAAAAAAAUAACGAUCAAUAAAUAAAAGCUACCUUAGGGAUAACAGGAUAAUUUUAUUCUAGAGAUCUAAUCGAAAAUAAAGUUUGUCACCUCUAUGUUGAAUUAAGA